CUCGGCCAAGGUGGGUUCUAGUCGAGCAAUGGAGGAGUGAUGGGGAGAAAUUAUGCCUCAAAGUGUUUAAUUUAUUCAAGUGAUUAGCAAGGUUAAGGAGCCAAGUUGAUUAAGGCGGAAAGAGCGACGAGGCGAAAAGGAUUCACGAAUAGUCGCCAACAGGUAUAGACGCACAGUUUGGUGAUCCACCAGUUUAGGAUACCCUCUUCUGCUGUUUGGAGUGCUCCUCUUAUUCCGGAGCCUACAUUUUGGUAUAUAUUCGGUCUUUGCAUAUGUAUAUAUUUGUUCAGGGGUACGGCGGGGCCCUGUCCCGCCAUAUGAUACGGUUGGUCUGUUUAGAGGUCUGUAGACGUACAUGUGGGUUAUGCCUACUUCUGUUCAGAUGUGUUUGUAUGAUCCUACUCGUUAUGGCAGCCUUGUCGGCGUGCAUUUUGUAUAUGUUUUGGGGCCGUUGUGCCAUUUGAUAGCCUUGUCGGCUUUUGAUAUAUGUAUACGCAUCUGGUUGUGCUGAAAUUUGGGCAAUGUAU